rnacentral:ncRNA from 1 species
AUGUAGGCGAAGAUGGGAAUAACUGCGAAACCAUUGGAACAGAGAGUGCACGGCUGGUGGAAGUGCAUGCAAGGUGCGCAGGUGCUACCCCGGAGCUGUUCGGAGAAAUCGGAACGUAGGUUGCUGCGUUAAAGCACAAAGAGGAAAGCAGAAACAUCUGCUUUUGAAUUUGGGUGGUACCACGAAGAGCCUUCGUCCCAUAU